rnacentral:lncRNA from 1 species
AUAUUUUGAAAUUAAAAUAAUAGUUAUAAAGACUUUUAUGAAUAAUAUCAGCCAAAUCGAUUAAAACACAAUGAAAUCCUCGCUUUGUAUUCUGUGAUGAAAUCCUUUAGUUGAUGACAAUAAAUUCGAUUAUUUUUUAUCGUCCGGUGUAAUAGAAUGAACAAACAUUACGAUAAUACAUACUUAUAAAAAUAAGAUAAGUCUGUUUGUUUGUUUUUCCUUCACGUCAAAACGGGGCGACGGAUAUGUUAAUUUUAUGAGGAGAUAUUUUGGAACUCAUGAGAGACAUCGGCUGUUUUAGCAUUGCAUUUUGGACAGAAUAAAAGCUUUUAAAAAUAAGAAGAAUCGAAGAAGAAGUCGAGCGUAAACAAACCAUAAGCCUUGGUGUUUACGUCAAAGACCUACAGUGCCAGGCACCAUACAUUUUACUUCUUCCCGGCGUUAAUCCUAGUUACAUCGAACCUCUCUGGACCUCGGGGUGCGGUUUAUGUUCACAGCUUACAGAAAGUUAUAAAAAUUAGCAUUACUCUAAUCUAUCUAAGAGUAUCCUGUUAGUAGAGCUUCAGAUAACCUUAAUCGUUAUUACUAACAGUUACCCGGGUUCACUCGUAAGAUGGAGCCGUAUUUGUUACUCUAGGCUAGCAACCUGUCACUAUUUGCUCUCAAUUCUAUCAUUAAGCCAUACAGCUUAACCUGACCUUUCAAUCUUUUCGGGUCUUUCAGAUCUGUCCACACCGUAAGAGAUAAAAAACGUGAUUAAAUGUAUGGACUCUAGUGUAUACUAUGAUAAAAUUCAAAAC